rnacentral:rRNA from 1 species
AGGCUUAACACAUGCAAGUCGAGGGGCAGCAUUGGAGUAGCAAUACUCAGAUGGCGACCGGCGCACGGGUGAGUAACACGUAUCCAACCUGCCGCUUACUCGGGGAUAGCCUUUCGAAAGAAAGAUUAAUACCCGAUGGUAUAAAGAGUUCGCAUGUUCUCUUUAUUAAAGAAUUUCGGUAAGCGAUGGGGAUGCGUUCCACUAGAUAGUUGGCGGGGUAACGGCCCACCAAGUCUACGAUGGAUAGGGGUUCUGAGAGGAAGGUCCCCCACAUUGGAACUGAGACACGGUCCAAACUCCUACGGGAGGCAGCAGUGAGGAAUAUUGGUCAAUGGACGAGAGUCUGAACCAGCCAAAGUAGCGUGAAGGAUGACUGCCCUAUGGGUUGUAAACUUCUUUUAUAAGGGAAUAAAGUGAGGGACGUGUCCCUUUUUGUAUGUACCUUAUGAAUAAGGAUCGGCUAACUCCGUGCCAGCCGCGGC